GCUAUUAACAAGAGGACCAUGUAACUGAUCAUCCAAAGACAAUACUGUUGAGGGUGAAAGGGAUUCACUAGGCCAGAAUGACCUCAUUACUAUAGACGUUAGAAGAAACACGAGUAAGGGCCACCGAAGCUCCCGAGAGACGGAGCCGUGAAGCUCAUAUGGUCAACAAUUUUUCUAUAUCCUACAGACAAAAAUGGAUGAAAGUGCAGAUGGACAAAUAUACAGG